rnacentral:rRNA from 1 species
UACGAAGGGGGCUAGCGUUGCUCGGAAUUACUGGGCGUAAAGCGCACGUAGGCGGCUUUCUAAGUCGGGGGUGAAAUCCUGGAGCUCAACUCCAGAACUGCCUUCGAUACUGGAGAGCUUGAGUCCGGGAGAGGUGAGUGGAACUGCGAGUGUAGAGGUGAAAUUCGUAGAUAUUCGCAAGAACACCAGUGGCGAAGGCGGCUCACUGGACUGGUAUUGACGCUGAGGUGCGAAAGCGUGGGGAGCAAACAGG